rnacentral:rRNA from 1 species
CGUGUAGGUGGUUCUGUAAGUAGGGCGUGAAAGCUCCCGGCUCAACUGGGAGAGGCCGUUCUAAACUACAGAACUAGAGGAUGGUAGAGGGAGGUGGAAUUCCAGGUGUAGCGGUGGAAUGCGCAGAUAUCUGGAGGAACACCAGUGGCGAAGGCGGCCUCCUGGACCAUUCCUGACACUCAGACGCGAAAGCUAGGGUAGCAAAC